GCUGGGUGCAGUGACACACGCCUGUAAUCCCAGCAACUGGGGAGGCUGAGGCAGGAGGAUCACAAGUUUGAGGCCAGCCUCAGCAACUUAGUGAGACUCUGUCUCAA
rnacentral:sRNA from 1 species